rnacentral:rRNA from 1 species
GACGAACGCUGGCGGCGUGCCUAAUACAUGCAAGUAGAACGCUGAAGAGAGGAGCUUGCUCUUCUUGGAUGAGUUGCGAACGGGUGAGUAACGCGUAGGUAACCUGCCUUGUAGCGGGGGAUAACUAUUGGAAACGAUAGCUAAUACCGCAUAACAAUGGAUGACACAUGUCAUUUAUUUGAAAGGGGCAAUUGCUCCACUACAAGAUGGACCUGCGUUGUAUUAGCUAGUAGGUGAGGUAAUGGCUCACCUAGGCGACGAUACAUAGCCGACCUGAGAGGGUGAUCGGCCACACUGGGACUGAGACACGGCCCAGACUCCUACGGGAGGCAGCAGUAGGGAAUCUUCGGCAAUGGGGGCAACCCUGACCGAGCAACGCCGCGGGAGUGAAGAAGGGUUUCGGACCGUAAAGCUCUGUUGUAAGUCAAGAACGGGUGUGAGAGUGGAAAGUUCACACUGUGACGGUAGCUUACCAGAAAGAGACGGCUAACUACGUG